rnacentral:rRNA from 1 species
CCUACGGGUGGCUGCAGUGGGGAAUCUUGCGCAAUGGGCGAAAGGCUGACGCAGCGACGCCGCGUGGAGGAUGACGCCCUUCGGGGUGUAAACUCCUGUUGCCCGGGACGAAUGCCUGUUUCGACAGGAGUGACGGUACCGGGUGAGGAAGCACCGGCUAACUCUGUGCCAGCAGCCGCGGUAAUACAGAGGGUGCGAGCGUUGUCCGGAAUCACUGGGCGUAAAGGGCGCGUAGGCGGUCGGGUAAGCGUGUGGUGAAAGUCCGGGGCUCAACCCCGGAUCGGCCAUGCGAACUGUCCGACUGGAGCACGGUAGAGGCACAUGGAAUUCCGGGUGUAGCGGUGGAAUGCGUAGAGAUCCGGAAGAACACCGGUGGCGAAGGCGGUGUGCUGGGCCGUAGCUGACGCUGAGGCGCGACAGCGUGGGGAGCAAACAGGCUUAGAUACCCGUGUAGUC